UGGUCCAGGUAGCUGCCUUCGCCAUGGAUGUUCCUCCUGAUCUCUACGCAUUUCACUGCUACACCAGGAAUUCCGCUACCCUCUACCACACUCUAGUCGCCCAGUAUCCACUGCAGUUCCCAGGUUGAGCCCAGGGCUUUCACAACGGACUUAAACGACCACCUACGCACGCUUUACGCCCAGUAAUUCCGAGUAACGCUUGCACCCUUCGUAUUACCGCGGCUGCUGGCACGAAGUUAGCCGGUGCUUAUUCUUUGGGUACCGUCAUCCCAACCGGGUAUUAGCCAGCUGGAUUUCUUUCCCAACAAAAGGGCUUUACAACCCGAAGGCCUUCUUCACCCACGCGGUAUGGCUGGAUCAGGCUUGCGCCCAUUGUCCAAUAUUCCCCACUGCUGCCUCCCGUAGGAGUCUGGACCGUGUCUCAGUUCCAGUGUGGCUGAUCAUCCUCUCAGACCAGCUACGGAUCGUCGCCUUGGUGGGCCUUUACCCCGCCAACUAGCUAAUCCGACAUCGGCUCAUUCAAUCGCGCAAGGUCCGAAGAUCCCCUGCUUUCACCCGUAGGUCGUAUGCGGUAUUAGCGUAAGUUUCCCUACGUUAUCCCCCACGACAGAGUAGAUUCCGAUGUAUUCCUCACCCGUCCGCCACUCGCCACCCAGAGAGCAAGCUCUCCUGUGCUGCCGUUCGACUUGCAUGUGUUAG
rnacentral:rRNA from 1 species